UUUUUGGCGUGUUUGACGAAUCCUAACUGCCCCUAUUACCACUGGGGUCCUACUUGUGUAAUAAUUUUGGCAACUUCGCCGAUCGACACAUCCUCAAACGAACGGGCUUCGAGUGUAAUUAUUUGUGCUAAUGACCCCUCACAUUGCUCAGCAUAUGCUGUUGUCAUUAACAAUGAACCAAUAUCUGUCACUCAUGCGGAGUGUUCCCGCCAAUCACUAGAAAAACCUGGUUGUAUUGGAUACCUUUAUUCAGAUGGGUCUUGUAUACUGCAGUUUGUCGAUGGAGUAAAAUUAGAUACGAGUAGCAAUGCGGAAGCAAAUCCUUUGAUUAGCU